UCCCUGGUGGCUCAGACGGUAAAGCGUCUGCCUGCAAUGCAGGAGACCCGGGUUUGAUCCCUGGGUGGGGAA
rnacentral:tRNA from 1 species